UAUGCCAUGACAAUGGAAAUGAUUUGUUCAUUUGACUUAUAACUUGCUUACUGACAAUAUUAUGAACACUUUUGCUUCACAGGAAGCAUAGCUGAUGAACUCAUGAAAGAAAUAAAGAAGGAAGUUGAAGAAUAAUGCUGCUCCAAAGUAUUCAUAUAUGGUUCCAACUUUGUAAAAAUGGGGCAUGCUUGUUUUAUGUUAUACAAGAGAAACCUGAGAAUAUGGUAUUAUUUGUUUGUAUAUUUUGUUCUGACAUAUAUGUGACUGGACGACCGGUGCAGCACUCCUCAAUCUGCUCUCAAGAUUAUAGAAACUGAACAACGAGAAAUGAAGAUAUAACAAUUGUUUUUGAAACAUUUGUUGAAUCUACACUAUUGUACAACCAACAUUUGUCCUUGACUACCCAGUUGAGAUAUCACCAUUGGCAAAACCACA